rnacentral:rRNA from 1 species
AUGGCAGCCCAUUCUCACCGGCCCCUAUUUCUUUCCUUCCCCACACACCACACAAAAAUACCUCCGCCGCCGCCGCCGUCACUGCCGCCAGCGGCCGCAGCCGCGAUGCUCCGCCUCCGAGAGCGCAUCGUUUCCCAUCUCCUCUCUUUCUCCUCCACCUCUGGCCCGGCCAUCUCCCCUCUCCACCGGCUCCUCUCCGCAUCGGCAGCCGCCGGCCCCAUUUCCCCGAACCCCAGUGGAUUCGCCGUCGAGGACUACCUCGUCGACACCUGCGGCCUCACCCGCCCCCAAGCCAUCAAGGCCUCCAUGAAGCUCUCCCACCUCAAGACCCCCGCCAAACCCAACGCCGUCCUCGCCUUCCUCUCCGGCCUCGGCCUCUCCGGCGCCGACGUCGCCCCGGUUGUCGCCAAGGACCCGCAGCUCCUAUGCGCCAAAGUGGACAAAACCCUGGCUCCGGUGGUCGAUGGGCUCACCGGCCUCGGCCUGUCGCGUUCCGACAUCGCCCGCCUCGUCUUCCUCACCCCCGGCGGCUUCCGCCGUAGAGCCAUAGUCUCCAGGCUGCAGUACUACCUGCCCCUCUUCGGCUCAUUCGACAACUUACUCCGGCUGCUCAAGUGCGACUCCAACCUUCUCUCAAUCGACCUUGACAAGGUGGUCAAACCCAAUGUCGCGUUCCUGAGGGAGUGCGGGCUAGGUGAUUGUGAUAUUGCCAAGCUGUGUAUCCGUGUGCCGAGGUUGCUCACCACCAACCCGGAGCGCGUCGGGGCGAUGGUCGCAUGUGCUGAAACAUUAGGUGUGCCCCGUGGCUCUGGGAUGCUCAGGAAAGCGCUGCAGGCUGUCGCGUUUCUCAGCGAGGAGAAGAUUGCCGCCAAAGUGGACUACUUGAAGAAUACGUUCAGGUGGUCUGAUGCCGAAGCUUGCGUUGCUGUGCGCAAGUAUCCGAGUGUGUUGAGGAAGUCAAAGGAAUCUCUGAAGCGCAGGUCUGAGUUCCUGGUCUCUGAGGUGGGACUGGAACCCGUGUCCAUUGCUCAUCAACCGGUAGUUCUCAGUCUUAGCUUGGAGGGCCGGCUCAGACCCCGGUACUAUGUUAUAAAGUUUCUCAAGGAAAAUGGACUGCUACAUCGUGACCCGAGCUUCUUUACUGCGGUCAAGAUCACUGAGAAGGUAUUUGUGGAGAAACUCAUAUCCCCUCACAAGGAAGCUGCACCACACCUCGCUGAAGACUAUGCAACAGCUUGCAAAGGGGAAGCGCCAACUAAUUUCAUAUUUAGAUGGACCAGGAACAGGCUAUGA